rnacentral:lncRNA from 1 species
CAGCACUUCACAGGAAAGGUCUAGUCAUUAUUACAAAGGCAAAAGAACAGGGAAGUGGAUCUUUGUUUCUCUUUUACAAAUCAGGAUUGAAGAAAUGUCCCUGGUUCUUUAAGAUGGUGUUACCCUCAUAUGGGGGCCCUAGAGGAUGCUGUAUAUCACAGAAAACCCACUAUACUGAUGACCCUUAGAGAAGAAAUUGAAAAUGCAUGCACAGCAAUCUCAAAGGACCAAGGCUACACAAGAAGUAAUUUACCAUACUAAUAAAUGUCUGGAAGCUGAGCCCUCUUAUAAUUGUAGAGGUCAAAGUGCUAAGAAACCUGGCAGGUCGGUUGAACUUGGUAUCACACAAAGACGAUGAAUGACUGAUCUGGAUCUCCAUGAUGUUGCUGUAUAUCUCGGAACUGGGGUGCAAAGUCAAAGAAGAAACUUCCUAUGGUGUGCCCAUUUUCCCAUGUAUCCUUGUAAUAAAUCUCACUACUCAAAGC